GUGGUUAGCGCGCCUGCCUGUAACCCAUAGGUAAUAGGUUCUAGGCUCGUCGCUGCUAC
rnacentral:miRNA from 1 species